rnacentral:rRNA from 1 species
UAGGGAAUCUUCGCAAUGGACGAAAGUCUGACCGAGCAACGCCGCGUGAGUGAAGAAGGUUUUCGGAUCGUAAACUCUGUUGGUAGAGAAGAACGUUGGUGAGAGUGGAAAGCUCAUCAAGUGACGGUAACUACCCAGAAAGGGACGGCUAACUACGUGCCA